ACAUAAGACAUGCAAGUCGAACGGAAGUCGUAUAUGAUUUGAGAGAACGAGAACUAGUCAAAGGGACAUGAUGAAGAUUAUAACAAUGGCUUAGUGGCGGACUGGUGAGUAAUACGUAAGCAACCUGCCUAUUAGAGGGGAACAACAGUUAGAAAUGACUGCUAAUACCGCAUAUGCCAUAGUAACCACAUGGUUACAGUGGGAAAGGAGCAAUCCGCUAAUAGAUGGGCUUACGGCUGAUUAGCUAGUUGGUGGGGUAACGGCCUACCAAGGCGACGAUCAGUAGCCGGACUGAGAGGUUCAACGGCCACAUUGGGACUGAGAUACGGCCCAGACUCCUACGGGAGGCAGCAGUCGGGAAUUUUGCGCAAUGGAGGAAACUCCUGACGCAGUGACGCCGCGUGCAGGAAGAAGGUUUUCGGAUUGUAAACUGCUUUAGACAGGGAAGAAAAAGGACAGUACCUGUAGAAUAAGCUCCGGCUAACUACGUGCCAGCAGCCGC
rnacentral:rRNA from 1 species